AUUGAACGCUGGCGGCAGGCCUAACACAUGCAAGUCGAACGGUAACAGGAAACAGCUUGCUGUUUCGCUGACGAGUGGCGGACGGGUGAGUAAUGUCUGGGAAACUGCCUGAUGGAGGGGGAUAACUACUGGAAACGGUAGCUAAUACCGCAUAACGUCGCAAGACCAAAGAGGGGGACCCUCGGGCCUCUUGCCAUCGGAUGUGCCCAGAUGGGAUUAGCUUGUUGGUGGGGUAACGGCUCACCAAGGCGACGAUCCCUAGCUGGUCUGAGAGGAUGACCAGCCACACUGGAACUGAGACACGGUCCAGACUCCUACGGGAGGCAGCAGUGGGGAAUAUUGCACAAUGGGCGCAAGCCUGAUGCAGCCAUGCCGCGUGUAUGAAGAGGGCCUUCGGGUUGUAAAGUACUUUCAGCGGGGAGGAAGGGAGUAAAGUUAAUACCUUUGCUCAUUGACGUUACCCGCAGAAGAAGCACCGGCUAACUCCGUG
rnacentral:rRNA from 1 species